AUUACAACUGUAAGGACCUUCCUCUCCAACCCUAACCCUACCCCUAGACUUUCUAUUGGAUUAAUACACGUUUUCAAGACCAGAACAUGUGUGGUCAUGUAGCUCUACGGGUUACGCCUGUGAUGUUCAGGACUCAUUCUUGUAUUUUACACUCUCUGAUGUUUUCUUUUCUUCAUGUCUAGUGUGUGAAUCAUUUCUGGUUUGUCUCUUCAGUGUCUCAUGUGGCCCUGCAGCUUCUCCUCCUCCACCUCCUCCUGAAGCCUUCAUCUUCUUCAUCAUCAGCUGCUCAGUGACUCUGUUGGACGUCUCACCGUGUGGCAGCAGCUCAGGAGUUUGCAGUCAACCAAGGCCGACUCAGAAUCACUCCCACCGGGAAGAUCUGUGAAGGAAGGUCCACCCUGGCUGGUCCAGAAGCUCCGGUCCAGCAGAGCAGCGUCAGGAUGGAGACGUAACCGGGAUCCAGUCCAGUCCAGUGACACUCCACUCCACUCCACUAUCACCCUCCACAAGGUUCCCAGCGGGGAUUCGAACCAUGCCCAUCCACAUGACAGACACACACCCUCUGUGUGAGCUAUCUGUCACACAAGGUCCCUGGUGGAGUUUGUUGUAAUGAUGGUUGCAAGAGGUUGUCAUGCAGCCAAAGUGUAAAAAGAGCCUUGAGCUGGAUUCCAACCAAGGACCUCCUGGAUGAGAGGCAGAUAACUUACCACUGCACUAUCCUUCCUACUGGGUGUAGCUGUUAGUUUUCGUAAAUGAUGGUACACAAAAGUAUUAAGGAAGUGAAGAUAAUAAAGGUACUAAGGUACCGGGGAGGCAAAAAACUUACCUCUACACCACCUGUCCUACAAUAUGUUGCUCUAACUUUGCUUAAAUGAUGCUAUCAAUUAGUACUGGCGCAACCAAACGACAAAUAAAAGGUGUGAGUGGAGAUCUGAAUCAUGUGAGGUUUGUUUCUGAGACUGAAUACACCCAAUCUCAUCUGAUCUGCAAAGCUAAGCAGGGUUGGGCCUGGUUAGUAUUUGGAUGGGAGACUACCUGGGAAUACCAGGUGCUGUAAGCUUUUUACUUCUCCUCACAACCUGAAGAACACACUGCUAGCGACAGCUAUCAACUAAAACCUCUUGGUUUCUUUAUUAUACACUCUAUGAGGUGGAUAAGCUGCAGCUCAUGCUGAUUUAUUGCUGCUUCUGGUUGGAGCCAAAGAACAAAGGCUUCACCUGUUGGAGCAGCUGAUGUCCUGCAGCCUCUUCACCACAGAAAGCCUCUGACAGCUUCAAUUCUUUACACUCUGACUGCAAGACACCAAUCACAUAGGAACAUUUACAUGUAUGGAACAAAGAGCUGAGCUGACACUCAACAUAUGUUUGAGCAUUUAUUGAUAAAGACAUUCAAACAUGUCUAGAGAUAGAACACCAACGCACGGUGUAAGAAAGGUCAGAACAGACUUCACCUGCUCAGGAAACUGAGGUCCUUCGGGGUGCAGGGAGCAAUUCUGAGGACCUUUUAUGGUUGUGUGGUGGUAUCAGCCAUCCUGUAUGGACUGGUCUGCUGGAGCAGCAGCAUCACGGCUGCAGACAGGAAGAGACUAAAGAAACUGGUUAAGAAAGCAAGCUCUGUCCUGGGCUGGUGGUAGACAGGAGGAUGAUGACAAAGCUGUUGUCUAUCAUGGAGGACAUCUCCCACCCCCUGCAGGAAACAGGACCAUCACCGGCAGCUCCUUCAGGGACAGACUGCUUCACCCACGAUGUUUGAAGGAGGUCCUUCCUUCCUGCAGCAGUCAGACUGUGUUCAAUCAAGCCUGCUCCCAGUAGUUCAGAUCACCCAUGAAGUAACUGCAAUAAAAUGUAAAUAAGUCAAUAUGUGCAAUUUCACAGGGUUUUUUUUUUUUUUACAAGCAUUUCUAUUUCUUCUCUAAGGAGAAAGCAUCUAUUUAUAUCUGUGCACUGAGUGCUGCUUUUCUUUUUUUUUUUUUACUUUUUUUCCUAUCUGCUACUGCCACACUGAAAAUUUCCCCACUGCAGGAUCUACCUAUCCAUCCAUCUAUCUAUGGUCCAUCUACCUCCCUACCUAUCUAUCCAUCCAUCCAUCCAUCCAUCCAUCCAUCCAUCCAUCCAUCCAUCCAUCUAUCUAUCCAUCCAUCCAUCCAUCCAUCCAUCCAUCUCUCUCACAGGUGUGGGGGUUGAUUCACCUGUUCUCAAUCACCUUAAUCCACGAAGGCCCGGUUCUUCAUUCUUCCGCUCUCUGCCAGACCACAGACUUUGAAACCAGAACCUUUCUCCUACAAUUAGUCUGGUUUCCCCUUUUUGUUUUCACCUUGGUUUAGUUAUCCUUUCUGUGUUGGUUUUAGUUUCAUUCGUUAAAUAAACUCCUUGUAAUCUUUGA